GCCGACCGUUGGCGGGGGCGCCCUGCCCGCCCCAAACGGUCCUGCGCCGCGCCCGCCCCGAAGGUGGGAUCCUCCAGUCCCGCUGAGCCCACUCGUCGAGUUCCUCGUCCAGCCCCUCCUGGGACAGGGGCAGACUGAGGGCAGCAGCGGCGGGGACUGGCCCGGACCCGACAGGACGUGGUCUCAGGGACGCUGGCAGCGAGGGCCAUUUCCUACACUGCAGACUGUGGGUCAGGUCUCACCCGGCUAUUCUGGCCGUUUGCCUGGAGGGCUCCAAAGAGCCCAACAGAAUUGGAACCCGCGUCACCAGACACUCACCUACCAGGGACAGCCCCCUCCCAGCUCAUCGCUUCGGACAUCGUCCAACAAACAAGAUGUUUGCGUGUUGCAUCCCCAACUCGGAACGGUGCAGGCAGAGGACUGCGCGCCCGGCAAGCACUUCCCCUCGCUCAGGAGGUCGUUUCAGGACUGCCAGACACCUCUGGGCAUUGUCAGGAAGGACCAAACAGUGACACCAGGAGGCCAGAGCCGGUCACCCAACCCCACACGCUUUGAUUGAUCUGAGUAGUCCCAGAAGGCCACAGAUGACAAGAGGAGGCUGGCGGACAUGACGUCUUCCCUGACAGAGGGACUUAGCGCUCAGGGCUCCUCUGGAGCAGGAAUGGGGGACAGCCUGGGAAAGCCUUCUCCACCUCCGAGGCCACUGUCCCCAGUGGUAGAAUGUUGGACAGCGGUCCAGGCCCGGAGCCCACGGAAGCUGAGCCCGAGGGUGAGAAGGCCGGGGCUGGGUGCCUGGGGUUGUGUGGGGAUGGGUCGGUGCUGGACCCCGCAGGAAGGACCCCCAGAGGCUGGUAUGGAGGCAGUACGGGUCCCCCUCAGACUGGCAGGUCUGGCCUGAGCACCAGCAGCCCUGGGGAGAACAUGAGGACACAGAGGUCCAAUGCAGGUCCCCCGGAGAGAAGGGGGACGGGCACCCCUGUCUGGGACAACGGUGGGCAGCGCCCUUCCCAAGCCGCAGGGGCACCCAUCACCUAGCAGUGCUCAUCCUGGGAUUCACCCUGGAAACUGGCGCGGUUCUUCACAAAUGUAUGGUCAGGAGUGCUCAGCCCAGCGGUGGUGGGGACAGCAGGGAACGGAACGGCGCUGAUGCCCGAGGAGGACG